rnacentral:rRNA from 1 species
CCAGCAGCUGCGGUAAUUCCAGCUCCAAUAGCGUAUAUUUAAGUUGCUGCAGUUAAAAAGCUCGUAGUUGGAUUUCGGGUGGGUGGCGGCGGUCCGCCUCUGGUGAGUACUGCCGGCGCCCACCUUACUGUCGGGGACGCGCUCCUGGGCUUCACUGUCCGGGACGCGGAGUCGACGCGGUUACUUUGAGUAAAUUAGAGUGUUCAAAGCAGGCCUACGCUCUGAAUACAUUAGCAUGGAAUAACACGAUAGGACUCUGGCCUAUCUUGUUGGUCUGUAGGACCGGAGUAAUGAUUAACAGGGACAGUCGGGGGCAUUCGUAUGACAUUGUCAGAGGUGAAAUUCUUGGAUUUAUGUCAGACGAACAUCUGCGAAAGCAUUUGCCAAGGAGGUUUUCAUUGAUCAAGAACGAAAGU